GAGGAGAAUUGCUAUAUCCUCUUGACAGAUGAGGAAACCGAGAUCAUUUGGUGAAAGGAAGAAGAGUGGGGAUUCAGGGUUACUGGUUUCUCCUGUACUAUGCAUUGGCCACACUAGAAGAUAGGACAUGAAAACAACACAAGCAAACAGCCCCUGGCACGUAGGAAGCGCUGGACGAGUGAUCGCUGUCUUUGUUGAUGAUGCUUCUGGUCCGGAUGCUGUGUGCGGCUGAACUGGCACAUGCCUGCACAGACUCACAGAAGGCAAGGUUACAGCAUAGGACCCAUUCAGCCACGGCGUCACCCGGCUUCUCUUACAGUGAGCUGUGGCUCUGAGACUGAGCCGUGGCCGGCGGAACGUGAAUGGCUGUGACGUGGGCCACCCCUGUGCAUUCUUCUUCACUCUCUCUCCUCUUCUGGCUGAUCGUGAUGACAACCUCGAGAAGGACUUUGGAAGCCACAUAUUCAAGAUGGCAGCAUCACCUGGAUUCCUGAGUGACAGUGGAGCAGAGCCCCCAACCCCCAAACACACACUUAUCUGCCACCUCGCUGGACUGUUCCAUAACGAUACAAUAAAGAUUCUUAUC